GGGGUUGUAGCUCAGCUGGUAGAGCACCACAAUGGCAUUGUGGGGGUCGUCAGUUCGAACCUGAUCAACUCCACCA
rnacentral:tRNA from 1 species